rnacentral:rRNA from 1 species
CCCUUAGAUGUUCUGGGCUGCACGCGCGCUACACUGAUGCACUCAACGAGUUUACGACCUUGUCCGAGAGGAUUGGGUAAUCUUUUUAAAAUGCAUCGUGAUGGGGAUAGAUUAUUGCAAUUAUUAAUCUUCAACGAGGAAUUCCUAGUAAGCGCGAGUCAUCAGCUCGUGCUGAUUACGUCCCUGCCCUUUGUACACACCGCCCGUCGCACCUACCGAUUGAAUGGUCCGGUGAAAUCUCGGGACGGCGGCUUGGUCGCUUGCGUCCGACUGCUGAAACUUGAUUAAACCAUAUCAUUUAGAGGAAGGUGAANUCGUANCA